rnacentral:misc_RNA from 1 species
UCGAACCAUUGUCCCAGGACU